rnacentral:misc_RNA from 1 species
GAUGAAGAACGCAGCGAAAUGCGAUACGUAAUGUGAAUUGCAGAAUUCAGUGAAUCAUCGAAUCUUUGAACGCACAUUGCGCCCGCCAGUAUUCUGGCGGGCAUGCCUGUUCGAGCGUCAUUUCAACCAUCAAGCCCUGCUUGCGUUGGGGUCCUGCGGCUGCCCGCAGGCCCUGAAAACCAGUGGCGGGCUCGCUAGUCACACCGAGCGCAGUAAUACAUCUCGCUUUGGGCGUGCGGCGGGUUCUUGCCGUUAAACACCCCCUUUUUACCAAGGUUGACCUCGGAUCAGGUAGGAAUACCCGCUGAACUUAAGCAUAUCAAUAAGCGGAGGA